CGUAGGUGGCAAGCGUUGUCCGGAUUUAUUGGGUUUAAAGGGUGCGUAGGCGGCCCUGUAAGUCAGUGGUGAAAUAUCUCAGCUUAACCGAGAGGGUGCCAUUGAUACUGCGGGGCUUGAGUACAGAUGAGGUAGGCGGAAUUGACGGUGUAGCGGUGAAAUGCAUAGAUAUCGUCAAGAACUCCGAUAGCGAAGGCAGCUUACUAAGCUGUAACUGACGCUGAGGCACGAAAGUGUGGGGAUCAAACAGGAUUAGAUACCCUGGUAGUCCACACUGUAAACGUUGAUGACUCGAUGUUGGCGAUACACAGCCAGCGUCCAAGAGCAAUCGUUAAGUCAUCCACCUGGGGAGUACGCCGGCAACGGUG
rnacentral:rRNA from 1 species